CAGGUGGGGACAGCUGCAGUGCCAAGGUCCUGCAUCAGCCCAGUAUCCCCCUCACUACCACCCACUCCAGCACAAGGGUGAAAUGCUGACACAAAUGUCCUCCCCAACAGGUCCAGGGUACCGGUGUCUCAUCAAGGCUUGUCUCAACAAGACAGCAACUGAAAAUCUCGACAUCUCAUCACAGGUUUUGAAGCCUGCUCAUCCUGACCAAGCCUUUCUGGAUCUCAUCAACAUGAAGGAACUCUCCUUAUGCCCUUCCAAGAUCUGUGCAAUACUUCUUGGAGUGACUUCCCGGUGAUGCCAACAGCUUUCCCUGGCACCCCCAAGCAGAUUAAGUGGAAGACCACAGCAGUUUGUGGCCUCCAGCCCUCUUCCUUUUCUCCUCAGCUGCCACCACUGUCCUGCUCCUCAGUGGUUCUGACUGGACUGUGCUUAAGCCAUGUCUCAACUGAGUAUCACCAGUGAGCUGAGGACCAAGGCCUGGCAAAGCAGGAAAAAAUACCAGCAUGGGUUUGCUAAGAGAUCAAGGUCUGCAAGGACUUGUCCCUGCCUAUCUAUGCAUUACAAUCAAAGAAUCCCAAAUAUGAGGUAUCAACAGCAGCCCUAUGGGCCUUGGGGAAAGGUAGGUGGUACCUUUGCUACAGAAAGGUCAGUGUUAAUCUUGUUAUGUC
rnacentral:lncRNA from 1 species